AAUGGUGUAUGCGGGCAUCCGCGCAACUUGAAGGCAAACAGCGUUUUGGACGGGGGUUCGAUUCCCCCCACCUCCACCA
rnacentral:tmRNA from 1 species